AUUGAACGCUGGCGGCAGGCCUAACACAUGCAAGUCGAGCGGAUGAAGGGAGCUUGCUCCUGGAUUCAGCGGCGGACGGGUGAGUAAUGCCUAGGAAUCUGCCUGGUAGUGGGGGAUAACGUCCGGAAACGGGCGCUAAUACCGCAUACGUCCUGAGGGAGAAAGUGGGGGAUCUUCGGACCUCACGCUAUCAGAUGAGCCUAGGUCGGAUUAGCUAGUUGGUGGGGUAAAGGCCUACCAAGGCGACGAUCCGUAACUGGUCUGAGAGGGUGAUCAGGCACACUGGAACUGAGACACGGUCCAGACUCCUACGGGAGGCAGCAGUGGGGAAUAUUGGACAAUGGGCGAAAGCCUGAUCCAGCCAUGCCGCGUGUGUGAAGAAGGUCUUCGGAUUGUAAAGCACUUUAAGUUGGGAGGAAGAGCAGUAAGUUAAUACCUUGCUGUUUUGACGGUACCAACAGAAUAAGCACCGGCUAACUUCGUG
rnacentral:rRNA from 1 species